rnacentral:rRNA from 1 species
AGAGUUUGAUCCUGGCUCAGAGCGAACGCUGGCGGCAGGCUUAACACAUGCAAGUCGAGCGGGCGUAGCAAUACGUCAGCGGCAGACGGGUGAGUAACGCGUGGGAACGUACCUUUUGGUUCGGAACAACACAGGGAAACUUGUGCUAAUACCGAAUAAGCCCUUACGGGGAAAGAUUUAUCGCCGAAAGAUCGGCCCGCGUCUGAUUAGCUAGUUGGUGAGGUAAUGGCUCACCAAGGCGACGAUCAGUAGCUGGUCUGAGAGGAUGAUCAGCCACAUUGGGACUGAGACACGGCCCAAACUCCUACGGGAGGCAGCAGUGGGGAAUAUUGGACAAUGGGGGCAACCCUGAUCCAGCCAUGCCGCGUGAGUGAUGAAGGCCCUAGGGUUGUAAAGCUCUUUUGUGCGGGAAGAUAAUGACGGUACCGCAUGAAUAAGCCCCGGCUAACUUCGUGCCAGCGGCCGCGGUAAUACGAAGGGGGCUAGCGUUGCUCGGAAUCACUGGGCGUAAAGGGUGCGUAGGCGGGUCUUUAAGUCAGGGGUGAAAUCCUGGAGCUCAACUCCAGAACUGCCUUUGAUACUGAAGAUCUUGAGUUCGGGAGAGGUGAGUGGAACUGCGAGUGUAGAGGUGAAAUUCGUAGAUAUUCGCAAGAACACCAGUGGCGAAGGCGGCUCACUGGCCCGAUACUGACGCUGAGGCACGAAAGCGUGGGGAGCAAACAGGAUUAGAUACCCCUGGUAGUCCACGCCGUAAACGAUGAAUGCCAGUCGUUAGUGGGUUUACUCACUAGUGGCGCAGCUAACGCUUUAAGCAUUCCGCCUGGGGAGUACGGUCGCAAGAUUAAAACUUAAAGGAAUUGACGG